GCCAUGUCCACUCCAUUUGUCAUUGGGUUGUUCCUGCCAUGUCCACCCCAUUUGGCACUGGGUUGUUUCUACCAUUUCCACCCAUUUGUCAUUGGGUUUCCAUGCCAUGUCCACCCCAUUUAUCAUUGGCUUUUCCAUGCCAUAUCCACCCCAUUUAUCAUUGGGUUCCACACCACGUCCACCCCAUUUGUCACUGGGUUUUCAGUCCAUGUCCACCCAUUUGGAAUUACGUUGCCACACCAUGUCCACCCAUUUGGCACUGGAUUGCCCCAUCAUGUCCACCCCAUUUAUCAUUGGGUUGCUCCUGCCACAUCCACCCCAUUUAUCAUUGGGUUCCACACCAUGUCCACCC